GCUACGGAAGCAAUUUUCAUUGAUUGAUUAAGCAAAGUAGUUACAAGCACAUUUAUAUAGGUGAAGGUAGUUCUAACAAACUGCUAACAAACUUCUAACAAACUAUAAGCUAGACUACUCUACAUAUGGUGUACACUAAGUAAAGAUACACAAGCACUAGGAAAGAUAGCUAAUGUAUCAAGUAACUUGUAAAGUGUAAUAAAUCUUAUCACAAAUUCACAAACAAUAUAAAAAGUUUUGUGGCGGAAUUUAUGCCCUCACAAUUAGUGUGUCAAAUGUAAAAUUCUCUGACAAAUGUUUGUGAGGCUCGUUUCUGUUAAGUUUUCCACUAAUAGGUUUGUAACUCAAUUAUAUUAUAUUGUGAUGGAAAUGUACCCUCUCUAAAUCAAUCUUUUAUAGUUAUUGUCAAAGUGUUCUUUCAAUCUGGUUUCGUGUUUUUGUCAUUUGUUGUUGCUAGUUUAUAUAGACUCAAAGUAACGCUUUUGAACAAAUAGAAUAUUAAAACACUAUAUUUUCAAAUCCCAGAACCUUAUGUAGGAUGUAUACUAAAAAAGGUCAUAUUUUUGUCAUGAUUUUUAGAUUUUCCCUUCUCUAUUAUGAAGGGAUAAAAAUAGAUAUAAAAAAAUAUAAUGUAAGGUCAAGUAAUUAAUUGAAUGAGCUAAAGAGACAAACAUAUUUUAUGCAUACAUCUAAGAAACAUUAAUUUAAUAAUAAUUAUGAUUUUAAGAAUAGUUUCAAAUUAACAAGCAUGAAGUUUUUUCACACUAUAAAGCUACCAAAUGAUUCUUAUUUCUAGAUUCAUAAAAGUAAAAAUAUGGUUAAAGUUUAUAUGUUUAUUUAUCCUAUGGUUAUGUUUUUUUCCAUAUUAAUUUCUAUAGCAAAUAGCGUGUUCCUCAUGUGCCGAACUAACGAGGAUUGUCGAAAUCUUCUGUGUCUUGAUGCUGAUCAUAGUCCAGCCUGUGGGUUUCCAUUUCAUGUGACCGGAUCUGAGGGAUUUGGAGUUUGUGGAUGUCGUUAUGAGAAGGUCCCAAGUACAUUGCACAAAAUUAGUGGCUUGUGAAUGUAUACUUAUGUAUAAAACAGUAAAAUUUAAUUAAAAUAAAAAUAAAAUUAUGUUGUUACUAUCUCGAGUGGAUUAGUUUUGUAGUUAUGCACGGAUGACAUGUAAUUUACCAAAAUAUUAUGUUGUUGCUCUUA